CCCGCUGAAUUUAAGCAUAUUAAUAAGCGGAGGANAAGAAACUAACAAGGAUUCCCCUAGUAAUGGCGAAUGAAGCGGGAACAGCUCAAAUUUAAAAUCUCCGUUGCUUGCAACGGCGAAUUGUAGUUUCGAGAAGCACUUUCUCGGCGGAUCCGAGGUCGUCCAAGUUGCUUGGAACAGCACGUCGUAGAGGGUGACAACCCCGUCUGCGGCGAUCUCGGCCGUUCACGAUGUGCUUUCGACGAGUCGGGUUGUUUGGGAAUGCAGCCCAAAAUGGGUGGUAAACUCCAUCUAAAGCUAAAUAUUGGCACGAGACCGAUAGCGAACAAGUACCGUGAGGGAAAGAUGAAAAGCACUUUGAAAAGAGAGUUAAAAAGUACGUGAAACCGUUAAAAGGGAAACGAAUGGGGUUAGCAAUGCGUCGUGCGAGAUUCAGCCGGUGGGUGGGCCAGGCGGGCGGUUGGCGGAUCUGAAUGGACCGCUGCCGUUCGGGUUGGUUUCCCGACCGUCGCACUUCUCGCAGGCGCGCGCCAACGUCGGUUAGGGCUGGGUCUCAAAGGCGGUGGAAAGGUAGGUUUGGACUCUCGGGCCCGAACUGUUACAGUCCUCCGUUCGUCAUGGCCCGGACCUGACCGAGGAGCUUGCGGUGCAUGCCCUUUCGGCUAGGGUCCCGUCUUCCCGGUCGGUCGUCGAAUGCGGUGGACUGCGUGCAGUGCGCCGCGACUGCUGCCGGUCGCGAGGGCGGUGAUUUCGUACUAUGCACCCACGACGUUGGCGGUCAUAUGGCCUCAUCCGACCCGUCUUGAAACACGG
rnacentral:rRNA from 1 species